rnacentral:rRNA from 1 species
AUGAAGACCGGCGGCUGUGGAGGCACCACGACGUGCGGCAGCGAUCAGAGAUCAUUGCGUAUAAAGCAAUCGGAAACAGCAGCGGCGGAAUCUUGCAGUAGCCAGGAGUCCAAGAUUGGAUCGGUAGCGCCGCAGGCUGGCGGCUGGUGGCGCGCGCGUGGCGCUCAGCGAGAUCGGAAGCGUGCGGCAGUGGCAUAUGAAGGCGCGCGCGGCUGGUGGUUCGUGCGUCGGAUGACACGGCGACAACGGAUCGAGAUUGGUCGUGUCCUGGUGGCGAUGCGAGAUCGGAUGCGGCGGCGGUGCAACGUGUGUGCGGCAGGAGUCCAUCGGGGAUUCGGGGCGAGCAAGCAGCCGGUGUGGGAUCUUCGGCGGAGACUCGAAUCAGGCGGCGGCAGCGUACGCGGAACAGCGUCUGGAGGUCGUAGCAGCUCGAGGCGAGGGCUGAUGUGGCCCAAGGUGCACGAGGCGGGCGGCCCAAUGGCUCUGCGUGGCUGGCUGGGCCAACUGGGGGGAGGCGUGCAAGAUGUGGCUGUACAUGAGAUUUGUUUGUAA